AUUUGUCAGUCACUAGCACUGUUUCCACCUAUACCCCACUCGUCUACAUAUGAUUACUGAUACUUUCGAAACAGAGCACUAUUAUCGAAUGGCAUAGGUAGCACGUAUAGGUUUCUAUCGCACUUUGUGAUGAUUAGACACUUUUCUCAGUUUAUCUGGUAUCGGUCAUAAUUAUUAACCUUCACAUUUCUGUGCAAAUACAAUUAACGUGCGUUCAUGGAAUUUGAUGCCCGUUGCCAGGUUUAAAAUGUACUUAACUACUACUAUCGAUUUAAAUUAAGCUGUACCUGUCGUUAAUUUAACUGGUCUGUACGAAAAGGGCACGUUACGAAUAAAAGUAAUAACGAGGGUCCAACGUAAAUUGGGCAUUAUAAAUAACCCUCGUCUAGGGAGUUACAAGGCGCGUAGGUACAUGUUCGUUAUUUCUAAUUUAAAAUUCCAGUUAAAGUUAAAGAUUCUUACUGCUCAUUUAUUAAUUAACAAGUGGCCAACUUCAUUCGGCCCCGGUUACACGGUCUACAAGUUUGGAGCGCCGUGAAAUCUGCCUCUACAAGUAUGCGAACGCAUAAAUGACAGUACUCAGGACCCACUAAGUACGAGAAUGCGGACUGGUAUUAGGGGUUGAAAUGGACAGUGGUUUAAUUAAUUUCAUUCAACGACCUAAUUGCACCCCUUUUUAACAAAGUAAAUCUCCUACGUCUCCAGAUGAAAAAAUGCGUCAUUUGGAGUGGAGCUAAGAGGUGACAGUGGUCGGGAGUUUAAUAUGGACUCGACUUGGACAGGAAGAGUAUAGAAUUCUUCGAAAGUGAAUAAAUGGUCUUCCAUCAUUCGUUAUAAAAUAAAAUAAAAGAGACAAGCAGUCUUAAAUGUUUUACAUUUUACACCCGCGUCCUUUUCUGUCUAUUUCAAAAAAGGAUCUACGUCGCGCCGGUUGAAUGAAAAGGAGGGGUUGGAAGAUCUCCCAUUGCAGGAGUUUAAAAAGAAGAUUUUGCCCUAAAACAUUAUGCAAUGCAAUUAUGACUUCUUUCUGAUAAAUUAGUUUCUUUAUUUAACGAAUUGACUAUUGUCUAGUGAUCCAUUAAAUUCAUCCACCACUGCUUUUAAAUAAAUGAAAUUUGAUAUGUUUCCAACAUUAUAAAUGUUUACUUCCAAACUGUCCGCAGUCAUAAAAGAAAGAACUGAAAAGCUUUUGGACAGAACACGCAUGCGCAGAUGUAAGGGUGAUAUCUGUGCUAACCACAACAAAUUUUCAUUUUUUUUACUACAAUAUAGCGGUUGGUUGCUAACUCGACUGUGAUGUCUAAGGAAAUGUUCGAUCGUGUUUUUGUUGGUAAUGUUUGACGCUGCUGUUCACCGCACAUGUGCGCGUACGUUUGUCGUAAUUAUCCAUCGUGU